rnacentral:sRNA from 1 species
UUCCCAGAAAACUAAACCGACUAAAAAGA